CUCUUAUCAAGAGCGGCGGAGGGAAGUGCCCUAUGAAGCCCGGCAACCGACAGUUUACUGGAAAGGUGCCAAGUCACACAGGUUGAUACCUGGCAGAUGAGAG
rnacentral:ncRNA from 1 species